rnacentral:rRNA from 1 species
GACGAACGCUGGCGGCGUGCUUAACACAUGCAAGUCGAACGGAAAGGCCCCUUCGGGGGUACUCGAGUGGCGAACGGGUGAGUAACACGUGAGUAACCUGCCCUUGACUUCGGGAUAACUUCAGGAAACUGGGGCUAAUACCGGAUAGGAAUCCUUGCUGCAUGGUGGGGGUUGGAAAGCUUCGGCGGUUUUGGAUGGACUCGCGGCUUAUCAGCUUGUUGGUGGGGUAGUGGCUUACCAAGGCUUUGACGGGUAGCCGGCCUGAGAGGGCGACCGGCCACAUUGGGACUGAGAUACGGCCCAGACUCCUACGGGAGGCAGCAGUGGGGAAAAUUGCACAAUGGGCGGAAGCCUGAUGCAGCAACGCCGCGUGCGGGAUGACGGCCUUCGGGUUGGAAACCGCUUUCAGCAGGGGCGAAGCUUGUGGUGACGGUACCUGCAGAAGAAGCACCGGCUAACUACGUG